rnacentral:rRNA from 1 species
AUGCGUGCUCCUUGCAGCCAGCUGAUCUCGCGCCUGGCCGUCGCCAAGCGCUUCUACGCCACGCAGCUCGGCCACGUCGGCGCAGAUCAGGCGGGGAUGGACGAGCUGGACAUGGAUGGCGACGAGAACGUGGGCAGGCCCAACUUUGCCUGCUCCUACUGCUACGAGGACCACGACAUCGCCUCCCUCAUCGCCCACCUCGAGGAGGACCACCCCUUCGAGCCCCACGCUGCGAUCAGUCCCGAUUAA